rnacentral:rRNA from 1 species
AUGUACAAGAAUUAUGUGGCUGGGAGAGAAGAAAACUCAUGUCGCCAUUUUAAGUCUGAAAGAUAUAAUUCAACAAAACUUUCAACCAUUGUUACAACAGUGACAACACUUUCAGACUUCCAGUGCAUUCAUUCCCUUGGCAAAGGCUAUGCAAACAUUUUCUGCAGACCUGGAAUCUUCAGUUUCUCUAGUGGCACCUGGCUCCACAAAAAUUCCUUCUCGGUGUCUCAAACUCUUUAUCAACUCAAAGAUUCUCCAAUCUACAUAUAUUUCUCUCGAAUUGGCGGCUUGGGGCCAUCUCUUUAUUCCCUGUUUGUCCCAGUCAAAGCGAGUUAG